rnacentral:rRNA from 1 species
CGGCGGACGGGUGAGUAACGCGUGGGUAACCUGCCUCAUACAGGGGGAUAACAGUUAGAAAUGACUGCUAAUACCGCAUAAGACCACAGCACCGCAUGGUGCGGGGGUAAAAACUCCGGUGGUAUGAGAUGGACCCGCGUCUGAUUAGCUAGUUGGUGAGGUAACGGCCCACCAAGGCGACGAUCGGUAGCCGGACUGAGAGGUUGAACGGCCACAUUGGGACUGAGACACGGCCCAG